UAGGGAAUCUUCGGCAAUGGACGAAAGUCUGACCGAGCAACGCCGCGUGAGUGAAGAAGGUUUUCGGAUCGUAAAACUCUGUUGUUAGAGAAGAACAAGGACGUUAGUAACUGAACGUCCCCUGACGGUAUCUAACCAGAAAGCCACGGCUAACUACGUGCCAGCAGCCGCGGUAAUACGUAGGUGGCAAGCGUUGUCCGGAUUUAUUGGGCGUAAAGCGAGCGCAGGCGGUUUCUUAAGUCUGAUGUGGAAGCCCCCGGCUCAACCGGGGAGGGUCAUUGGAAACUGGGAGACUUGAGUGCAGAAGAGGAGAGUGGAAUUCCAUGUGUAGCGGUGAAAUGCGUAGAUAUAUGGAGGAACACCAGUGGCGAAGGCGGCUCUCUGGUCUGUAACUGACGCUGAGGCGCGAAAGCGUGGGGAGCAAACAGG
rnacentral:rRNA from 1 species